ACCACGUGCCUGUGGAGCAGUUACCAUUCAACCAUGAACUACAAGCUGAUCGUCGUCAUGCUGUUCCUCGUGAUGGGGGCGCUGGUCGAAGGAAAGCGUCUGGCGAACUUAGGGCACAAGUUGAAGCAAGAAGCUGAGAAAGUGGGCAAAGAAGCUGGCCACAUCUUGGAAGGAAAAGUCGCUCAGAAAGCCGCUGAUGUCGUCUUCAACGCGGUAUUAAGGAAAGGAUAACAGCAGAGAGGCAGAAAUGUGAACUACGAAAAUCAACAACGUUUGUUACAAAUUGUAUCAUUCUUUUACAAUAAACCCCAAAUGACUUGCCCAGAAA